rnacentral:lncRNA from 1 species
AUGGCCUCUGGUUUGCUGGUGAGGAUACAGCUAAGAGGGCUGGGAGAGAAGGGGAUGGACACAGGGAGGAUCAGCACCUCUGCCUGGUCACCUUUAGCCAAGUUUGGGUGUUCUACUCCACAGGAUGAGCGUGAUCGUCCCAAUUCACGUGGUGGAGCUGCAAGGCCGUGGUUGACAAAUCAUCGUGUGUGGCUGACCCAGCCAAGCUCCACCUCUCUCCAUCGCUGUGUUUUCCAUGGGAGCACAUCUGUUCUGGCUGCUCCACCUAUUUUUGAAGGAUGUUUUGUGCCAAGAAGGGAGAAAGAAAUCCUGACAAAUAACAAGUUCAUGGAGUGCUUAAAUCUGAAGACAUGUUCAAGGUAUUUGUUGCAAAUAAAGCCAAAGGCCUCAUGUGCUCCUUGGAGCAUUCCUGGAGAGCUGCUGGCUGCCUUUGCCUUGAUAAUGAUCUUUAUGUGUUUAGCGGUGAACACACAUUUCCCAUCUCCGGUUGCUGCUUUUCUAGGUUAGACAAAAAAUUCUUGUUCAUGCACUGUGUUUUCCAAGCUUGGUUUGUUUUUUCUAAAUCCAUCUGUUCUCUUCUGCCUCCCUUUGAGUUUAUUCCCAUCACCUUUCCCAUUUUCACAUCCCCUCCAACCCCUGUUUCCAGCCCCUCACUCAUAAUUGGUUUCCCCUUCCUACGUACAAUCCUUUGCUCCUUUCUGUGCAAUUUGAUGAUUUUCAUUUCAGCGGUUUUCCAAGAAUAUUUGGAAUUUAAUCCUGUCCUGUAAAACCCUUCCUACAGCAACACAAGCUCAGCCUUUUGCAAGUUUUCUCCUUGUUCCUUUAUCCCAGCCCUGGGCACAAACACCACCCAGAGCAGACUCAUGGGUCUACCCAAAGACCUGGCUCUGAG